AAUCAACGCUGGCGGCGUGCCUCAGACAUGCAAGUCGAACGCGAAAGUCCCCUUCGGGGGAUGAUUAGAGUGGCGCACGGGUGAGUAACACGUAGGUAAUCUACCUUCGAGUGGGGAAUAACUCAGGGAAACUUGAGCUAAUACCGCAUAAUGCAGCGGCACCACAUGGUGACAGUUGUUAAAGCAUUUAUGCGCUUGAAGAGGAGCCUGCGGCAGAUAGCUAGUUGGUAAGGUAAUGGCUUACCAAGGCUACGAUCUGUAACCGGCCUGAGAGGGCGGACGGUCACACUGACACUGAAUAACGGGUCAGACUCCUACGGGAGGCAGCAGUCGGGAAGUUUUGGGUCAAUGGGCGAAAGCCUGACCCACGCAACGCCGCGUGAAGG
rnacentral:rRNA from 1 species